UCUGCCCUGCACUCUGGGACAAGCCCUGGAAACGGGGUCUAAUACCGGAUACUGAUCCUCGCAGGCAUCUGUGAGGUUCGAAAGCUCCGGCGGUGCAGGAUGAGCCCGCGGCCUAUCAGCUUGUUGGUGAGGUAACGGCUCACCAAGGCGACGACGGGUAGCCGGCCUGAGAGGGCGACCGGCCACACUGGGACUGAGACACGGCCCAGACUCCUACGGGAGGCAGCAGUGGGGAAUAUUGCACAAUGGGCGAAAGCCUGAUGCAGCGACGCCGCGUGAGGGAUGACGGCCUUCGGGUUGUAAACCUCUUUCAGCAGGGAAGAAGCGAAAGUGACGGUACCU
rnacentral:rRNA from 1 species